AUUGAACGCUGGCGGCAGGCCUAACACAUGCAAGUCGAACGAGUGGCGGACGUGUGAGUAAUGUCUGGGACACUGCCUGAUGGAGGGGGAUCACUACUGGAAACUGUAGCUUAUACCGCAUACCAUCGGAUGUGCCCAUAUGGGAUUAGCUUGUAGGUGGGGCAAAGGCUCACCUAGGCGACGAUCCCUAGCUGGUCUGAGAGGAUGACCAUCCACACUGGAACUGAGACACUGGCCAGACUCCUACGGGAGGCAGCAGUGGGGAAUAUGGCACAAUGGGCGAAAGCCUGAUGCAGCCCUGCCGCGUGUAUGAAGAAGGCCUUCGGGUUGUAAAGUACUUUCAGCGGGGAGGCGUUACCCGCAGAAGAAGCACCGGCUAACUCCGGGGCAGCAGCCGCGGUAAUUC
rnacentral:rRNA from 1 species